UUGAGGUACCAAAGCUUCUGGAGGCUUCCUCUAUUCAUCUGCGUACGAUUAUCUGGGUACGAUUCUCUUCUCUGUUCGUGUUCCUCAUCUUCCCUCGUCUCCUUUGAUUUUUUUGACCUAAUAUAUAUUUUGUUUUGCAUGUGAGGUACCAAAGCUUCUGGAGGCUAAUACGGGGAGGAAUAUUCUUGAAACAGAUCAUCCAGAAGGUCCUUUUGGCACUAAGCUCAAUUCCCUCAAAGGAGACGAAGGAAAGCGACAACUGCAUUUUAUUUGUGUGUGACUCCAUUUCUCUGUUUUAAGAUUAUCAAGCGAUGGACAAAGAGUGGACUAAAUUACCGUGGUUUAGUCAAGAGUACAUCAACGGUGUUACUCGAUUUUUAGACUUUGCCUUCACUAAAGGAAGUCCUCAAGGAGGUGAACUUCUAUGCCCUUGUGCUAAGUGUAAAAAUAUAUAUUGGAAAACCAGGGAUAUUAUUAGGGAUCACCUAAUAGCCAAAGGUUUUCUAGACGGUUAUGACGUUUGGGUGCACCAUGGGGAGAAACUACAAAGGUCUAUGGAAAUUGGUGAUGGGAUGGAAGAUCAAGAUGGAUCACAUGAUGACAUUCCUGGCUUAUUGCAUGACAUAUAUGGAGAUAGGGCAGAAGCACACGGAGUUGAUGAAGGUCCCAAUGACGAGGCUAGAACGUUUUACAGUUUGAUUAAAGAGGCGGAACAAGA